GAGCGAACGCCUGACAAGAUUUAUGAGGCUUCGGGAGGCAUGAUCCCGAAAAGUGGAAACCGGUUUUCGGAAAAGAUCAUGCCCAGAAAAGUUACGCGACGACCUUGAGCCCGACGAUUCCGGCGACGAUCAGUCCGAUGCAGAUGAUGCGGAGGGUGGUCGCCGGGUCACCCAGCAGCCAGAUGCCGAGGAUGGCGGUUCCGACCGUGCCGAUACCGGUCCAGACUGCGUAGGCGGUGCCGACCGGCAGCGGC
rnacentral:misc_RNA from 1 species